rnacentral:rRNA from 1 species
CCUACGGGAGGCAGCAGUGAGGAAUAUUGCUCAAUGGACGACAGUCUGAACCAGCCAAGUCGCGUGAAUGAUGACUGCCCUAUGGGUUGUAAACUUCUUUUAUAAAGGAAUAAAACGAGAAACGUGUGCCUUUUUGCAUGUACUUUAUGAAUAAGGAACGGCUACCCCCGUGCCAGCAGCGGCGGUAAUGCAGUGGAUCCGAUGGUUGUCCGGAUUUAGUGGGUUUAAAGGGAGCGGAGAUGGGUUGUUAAGUCAGUUGUGAAAGUUUGCGGCUCAACCGUGAAACUGCAAUUGAUACUGGCAGUCUUGAGUACAGUUGAGGUAGGCGGAAUUCGUGGUGUAGCGGUGAAAUGCUUAGAUAUCACGAAGAACCCCGAUUGCGAAGGCAGCUUACUAAACUGUGACUGACACUGAUGUUCGAAAGUGUGGGUAUCAAACAGGAUUAGAUACCCCAGUAGUC